GGGAGGGCUUGUCAGGCGUCGAUGCCAAGUCACUGAGGAGUGAGGGUCGCAGCCUCCAGCGGGAACAGCGUGCCGUGGCAGCGCUUGGAGACCCCAGCUGGCAUUUCACUGUUGCCCUGGGGGCCGCUUCCUCCCAACUUGGUCUCCGGGGAGGACGGGCAGCUGAAGGGACACACAGAGGAGGGACGCGAUGCAUAAUGGCGAGCCUGUUCCAGGGGCCUGUGGAUCCAGAUCAGACGGGACCAAUGAGGCCUAAUUGGCCGCCUCGGAUCUGCAGAAAAUACUGAGGGGCCCGAAGGCGCACACAGACGCACGCGUGCGCGCGGUCCCCUCAGCCCUCUCAUCCUGAGCUCCGAAGAGAAGGGAGGGCGAGGGUGAAUGAAGCCCGCAGAGCACAAGAGCCCAGGUGGAGAUAGCAAAGCAAACCGCUUAGAUCUGGACUGUGAAAUCGGAGAAAACAUCACAGAUCGAUAUUUAAUUACAGACUAGACUUGCGGUUGGAAAAAAGUUUUAUGUCAAUUUGGUGUGAUGGUGCUGGACCGGUCUCAGACAAAAAGCGACAAGGACAAGACUUCCUAGCCAACCCCAACUGAAGCCUCUACCGGGCUAUAUCCACCUCUAUCUGAUUUCGUUAAAGCUCCUUCAGGGCAAUAUCCCUUACAGGAGGUGAGUGGAGAAUUCGACCCUACCUGAAUCCUGAAGUCCU